GCUAGUCAACUCGUACCUAAGUCAACUCGUACCUUCCGUUGUUUUCAUCCGAUCUUCACCAAACUUGCCCAUAUGGUGUAUCCGCAUGAUGUCUUGGUGGUGUUGCCAUUAUUAUUGGACAAAAAACUGGGAGAAUUUUGUACAUUGGCAUAAGAAACAAAUACUGUUACGUAUGCUCACAUACGGAAAAUACUCAUCAAACAGUACCACAUCACCAAUGCUUCAAAAACUGGAACUCGAAUCAUCAAGCCAUGGAAGCUGACAUCAUCCUUGAUGGAUUCCGUUUGGUAGAGAAAUGCAUGGGUUACGGUAUAUGUGGUUAGUUGGUGAUGGGGAUUCAUCAGUUUAUGCCAAAAUACAUGAAGAAAUUCCAGUUUGGGGAAGUCAUGUUAAAAAAUUAGAAUGUUCAAAUCAUGUUUGUAAGUGCCUUCGUUCCAAUUUUGAAAAGCUAGUGGACGCUAAUCCUCAUUACAAAGGCAGUUUGCAUUCGCUUAGUAAGUGCUGUCCGAUGUGCUAUCCGGAUACGAUCCAAAGAAGAAAAUGUACAUAAUGCAAUAAUCAAGUUAGAAAAAGACGUUCGAAACUCUGUUCACCACAUUUUUGGCAACCACAACAAUUGUUCAGAUUUCUGUAAAGCUAAAUCAAUUCCACCUAUUAACCAAACAACAUCCUACACUUAGAAUUCCACUGAAGUAGACUAACCAUCUGAUUUAUGUAUUCAAAAUAAUUUACUUUGGAAAGAAGGAACAUCUUUAAAAGAUCAGGAACUUUCACGCUAUUCUUCAACACUUUCAUAUUCAGAUCUUAAAUCAGAUAUGUUGAAUGACAUUUCAGUAUUGCUGGACAGAGUUUCUAAUAAAAGUAAAAGACUCAUCAAUAAUACAACAACUAAUUAGGCUGAGUGUUGGAUGCACAUGCGCACCAAAUUUGACGGAGGCAAAGUCUACAAUUUGUGUAAUCGUGGGUCAUGGCAUACUAGGUGUUAUGGUGGAUGUUUACCAAUGAAUGUCGGACCACAGUGGUCUCCCACUGUUUGGAAACAGGUGACAGACUCCUCACCAGGAUACCACUUCAUAAAACUAUAUGAGGAAAGGGACAAGCAAUUGACACUUUCUAAUCAGUCUAAAACCAAGCCACAAGCUCAAUCUAAUAGGUGGAAAAGAAAAAUGUCUACUUCUAAUGAGAGUACAUCAAAGUCUGCCAAAUCAUCAUAUGGAAAUGAGGCUAUUCAGUGUGAAGAUGAUGUUUACGCAUCUGUUUUGAAUACCAAAUGUGACCAGUACAUGUCUCAUCACAUUAACAUUUCAAAUGAUACAAUUAAUGCUAUUACAACUCUUACUAAAGAUCAAUCUAAUUCUCAAGUUUGGCAUCAAGAAAGAAGAAAAAGAAAAACAGCAUUAAAUUUGGGACUUAUUUUGAAAAGAAAAACAAUAUCAAUAUCUGUGAAACUUUUAAAGGGAAUGAAUUCACACUUUUUGGAUUACAACAAGAAAUAAAUACCAUUCAUGAAUUAAAAAAAAAAAACUGAACAAGGAAUUAAUGUUAAUGUUAACAGAUGUGAAUUAUUUAUUCAUCCUGAACAUAAAUUUUUAGAUGGAAGUCCAGAUGGAAUCGUUUUUAUCAACAUCAAUAGGGAAGGACUUAUUGAAGUUAAAAAUGUUUUUAAAAAAUAUAAAAAUUAACUUAUUUCAAGCUGCCAAUACAAACAGAAAUUUCUUCUUAGGAAUAGAAAAGGACAAAUUAAAAUUAAAAUUGAACCACAUUUACUAUUAUCAGUGUCAAGGUUUAUUGCAUAUAUGCAAUUUACCGUUGAUAGACUUUAUAGUAAGGACCACAGACCCAUAUCAACUCCACGUGGAAACAAUUUAUAAAGACAAUACCCUUUGGGAAUCAUGGAUUCCAAAGCUUAAAGCAUUUUAUUGCAAGGUUUUAUUGCCAGAGUUAGCUUGUCCGAGACACAGAAAAAUUCCUGGAAUAAGAGAGCCUGGAGUAUGGAUACAACCAAGCCUUCUGUAAGUAAAAGGACGGUUACAUGUCGUAAAAAAUCUACUUCAAGGACCAAAUCAACUUCCACAGUGACCCAGAAGAUUAGUACAGUAACAUCAGAUAGGAAUACUGCAAGACGAGCAGCAUCUUCAAACACAAAGUUUGUUGGUAGACAAAUUAAACAUAAAUGGAAGUUGUGCAUUGAUUCUGAAAAUACCGAGUGAUAUACUGGCUAUGUAACAUCCCUUUUGUCUGGAGUCGAUGGGAAUUCUAAUGCAGUGUAUGAAGUGCUAUAUGACAAUGAUGACGAACCUUACAUGAUUAAACAUCUUGUAGAAGACUUCAAGGAAGGAUCAGUACAGUUUUUGGAUUUAUAGGGUAUAAUCUCACAUACAUAUAUGUUUUUUAAUACUGUGCAUAACCUUGCAUGAUAUUUUUUAAACAAUUAAUGUUGCAAUGUGAUGAAAAAUAUUCCCCAUAAUUUCAACUUGCAUAUUGUGUAAUAACCCUCCUUAUUAGCUCACCUAAGCACAAUGUGCUCAUGGUUAUUUUUUAUUCCAUUUUGUCCGUCGUGGGUCAUACAUUAUGCAUCAUGCUUGAUCAUCAUUUAACUUGUUUACCCUAUAGAGGCCACAUUUAUUGUAUAUGUUUUAUGAAAUUUUGUCUGAAGAUUAUUAUGUCUCAAUUAUAUUUUGAAUGAGUAAAGUAAGUAUUAUGUUUGGUUGAAAAACAUUAGUGACAAGGGGCAUGGCAUUUUUCCUUGUAUGACUAUAUAUGGCUGUACUUAAACCUUGUAAACACUUUAGUGGUCACAUUUAUUGUACGAUGUUAAUGAAACUUGAACAGAAGAUUCAUACCAAUAAUAUAUUGGAUUAGUUAGAAAAUGAUGAUGGUUGAAAAACAUGUAUGCCAAGGAGGCGGGGCAUUUUUCAUUACAUGCCUAUAAUUGUAUAUGGCUAUAGAAAAACAUUGUAAACACAAUUUAUGCCACAUUUAUUGUCUGAUGUUCAUGUAAAUUGAUCAGAACAUUUGUACCAGUGAUGCAUUGAAUGAAUUUUAUUCUUAAAUGUUUCUGUCUGUAUGAAAAGCAUUGCCGCCAAUAGGGCGGGGCACUUUUUUAACCAGGUUUUCCGAAGGAAAAAACUGGUUAUUAGAUUGGCGAAUGCUGGCGGGCUGGCUGGCUGGCGGGCUGGCGGGCGGGCGGAACAAGCUUGUCCGGGCCAUAACUUGUCGUCCAUUGUGAGAUUUUAAAAUCAUUUGGCACAUUUGUUAACCAUCAUUAGACGGUGUGUCGCGCAAAAAAAUUACGUCAAUAUCUCCAAGGUCAAGGUCACACUUUGAGUUCAAAGGUAAAAAAUAGCCAUAAAUGAGCUUGUCUGGGCUAUAACUAGGUCAUUCAUUAUGAGAUUUUAAAAUCAUUUGGCACAUUUGUUCACCAUCAUGGGACGGUGUGUCGCACGAAAGAAUCACGUCAAAAUCUCCAAUGUCAAGGUCGCCACGACUAAAAAUAGAUUUAUUUUAAAACAAACUUACAAAGGGGGUUAAUUUUGUUUGUUCAUUUCAAAAGUUCAGUUUGAGUUGUCUCCCUUUAUCAGAUUUUUUUUUUCACAAUGAAAACCUGGUUUUGUGACAAUUUUGUCCCUUGUCUUAUAUACAUAUAGUGAAAGCUUGUUAACACUAUAGAGGCUACAUUUAUUGUGUCAUUUGAAUGAAAUUUGUUCAUAAAAUUGGUGUAAAUUAUAUGUUUGAUGAGUUGGAAAAUUGUUAAUUUUGUUUGAAAAACAUGGCUGCCAAGGGGUGCGACAUUUUUCCUUAUAUGGCAUUAUAUGUCUAUAGUAAAACAUUGUAAACAGUAUAGUAUUAUGAAAUGUCACAUGCAGACAGAAUAUAUAUUUUCUUAGUACUUUUCUUAUCAUUAAAAUUAAAAUAUAGUAAUUUUCCACAAAUGUAAAAUAGUAAAUAUAGUUUAAUGUCACAAUUGGUACACCAUACUUAAAGUAGUUCCUAAUUUUGUUUGUUACUUUUUGACAUUUGUUGAUGUUUUUCUUUUGCAUAUUUUAGGGUUGUUGGUGUGUGUUGUGCGGAAUUUUCAUUUGUAGUACCUUCAAUUUAGUGUAUACAAUCUUUUCACCGAAGGAAUUUGUUAAAUGUAACUCUGUAACUUAAUUUGAUAUUUUCAUGCAUGCAUACUUCUUCAAAAGCAACAUUUUGCAUAUUUUUUUUUUUCCUUUUCAUUAACUGAUAUGUUCUACAAGUAUUUACGAGCAUAUUAAGAUAUAAAUUGAAUUAAAUUACAUAAUAUUUAUUGAACUAUCCCUAUUUGAAGAAUACACCUUUUGACACUUUACAUGAACCUUAAAAAAACUUCGGAUUAAAGGUCAAUUUUAAAGAAAAUCCAAACUCAAUAUAUUAAACGCUAUAUACAUUGAAAUAUGA